AUUUUUUGUGCUUAAACUAGACAUGUACAUGGUGAUUUUGGUGUAGAGUUUGUGAAUUUAUCAUUUCUGGUUGUGGAGUUAUGAUUUUUUGAAUAGGGGUGUGACAAUUUGUGUCACACCAUUCAUGUCCAACUUCAUGAUUUUAAUUACCAUGCUUAUUGAACUCAAAUUGGUUUGAAUUUUUGCAUGAAUGUACUUAUGGAUGUCUAGUUUACAUGUGAUUUCUUAUGGAAUUUUGGAAUGCGUUUCCUAUUUGAU
rnacentral:lncRNA from 1 species